CGAAGCGUGCGAUUGGAUUGCACGUCUAAGCAGUAAGGCUGAGUAUUAGGCAAAUCCGGUACUCGUUAAGGCUGAGCUGUGAUGGGGAGAAGACAUUGUGUCUUCGAGUCGUUGAUUUCACACUGCCGAGAAAAGCCUCUAGAUAGAAAAUAGGUGCCCGUACCGCAAACCGACACAGGUAGUCAAGAUGAGAAUUCUAAGGUGAGCGAGCGAACUCUCGUUAAGGAACUCGGCAAAAUGACCCCGUAACUUCGGGAGAAGGGGUGCUCUUUAGGGUUAACGCCCAGAAGAGCCGCAGUGAAUAGGCCCAAGCGACUGUUUAUCAAAAACACAGGUCUCUGCUAAACCGUAAGGUGAUGUAUAGGGGCUGACGCCUGCCCGGUGCUGGAAGGUUAAGAGGAGUGGUUAGCUUCUGCGAAGCUACGAAUCGAAGCCCCAGUAAACGGCGGCCGUAACUAUAACGGUCCUAAGGUAGCGAAAU
rnacentral:rRNA from 1 species